UACGUAGGGUGCAAGCGUUGUCCGGAUUUAUUGGGCGUAAAGAGCUCGUAGGCGGUUUGUCGCGUCUGCUGUGAAAUCCCCAGGCUCAACUUGGGGCGUGCAGUGGGUACGGGCAGACUAGAGUGCGGUAGGGGAGACUGGAAUUCCUGGUGUAGCGGUGGAAUGCGCAGAUAUCAGGAGGAACACCGAUGGCGAAGGCAGGUCUCUGGGCCGUUACUGACGCUGAGGAGCGAAAGCAUGGGGAGCGAACAGG
rnacentral:rRNA from 1 species